rnacentral:rRNA from 1 species
UCUCCGUUGGUGAACCAGCGGAGGGAUCAUUAAAGAGUUGCUUAUAACUCCUAAACCCAUGUGAACUUACCUUUUGUUGCCUCGGCAGGUCGCGUCUAUCCUGUUUUGUCCUGCCCUGCAGGACCUACCCGGUAGAUGACGGGAUAGCCUGCCGAUGGCCCCGAGCAAACUUUGUGAUAACAUUGUAACUCUGAAGUUCUAACAAAAUCAGUUAAAACUUUCAACAACGGAUCUCUUGGUUCUGGCAUCGAUGAAGAACGCAGCGAAAUGCGAUAAGUAGUGUGAAUUGCAGAAUUUAGUGAAUCAUCGAAUCUUUGAACGCACAUUGCGCCCACUAGUAUUCUGGUGGGCAUGCCUGUUCGAGCGUCAUUAUCAACCCUUAAGCCUUUGUUGCUUAGUGUUGGGGGUCUACAGCACAUGCAGCCCCUUAAAGUCAGUGGCGGAGUCGGUAUCAUACUCUAGACGUAGUAACUCUUUUAUCUCGCCUAUGGUUGUGCCGGCCCCCUGCCGUAAAACACCCCAGCUUUUUAUGGUUGACCUCGGAUCAGGUAGGAAUACCCGCUGAACUUAA